AGGCCCAAAGAGAGAGGCAGGGUCUGAUUCGCAGCUUCUGUGGCAGCUGUUGAUCAGCUGUUGCCUCUCUUUCUCUUCA
rfam:Myotis lucifugus cont2.15632, whole genome shotgun sequence.